UCGACGAGUUGUAGAAUAAUCUCGUAUGCAUCGAGAGCGGUGAUAUCGUUGCUCACGAUAAUGCCUAUGUACGACGCAAUAACGAGCAGCAAUAAACGACGAUUAAACGGUGUCCGGCGAGUGGACGUGAAUAUAGUAUCAUGACAGUCCGGACACGACCUUCGUUUACGCAUUGAGCAGAUAACCGAUUUUUUGCAGCUUCCGAUAAACUCAAUCUGCAAACUCGUCCGUAUUAAAAACAACGUAGUUUCCGCGGUGACGAUCAGCAUCAGCAAAACUCCCACCAGAUUGCACGUGAUUUGCAAUAAAUACCACAAUCUUCUGACUACGUUGAUAUAAUCGUGGCUGAAUAGGAUUCCAGGAUUGUAUACGAAGAUGUCGUUCCGAUUGCUAAUUCUAUUGCUUCUGAUGUACUGUUGUCACUUUAUUUCUGGUACCAAGAGAAUGAGAGUAGGUGGAAAAUCUUAUGCGGUGUCGGCAUACCCCGAAGAUUGCACUAAAUACGUGAUGUGUAGUAACGGCAAAUGCAAGCUGGAGGCAUGCGAGCCCACCUACGUUUUCGACCCGGUCACCUCUACCUGCAGCCAUCGACGCAGAACUGUCAACUGCGACUUCAACCUUCCGCGUAGACUGUAAAUCGCGAUGCUGAAAUCGGCAUAAAAGUCUCUCGUAUGAUAAUGUUUCCUAAAGAGGCUCAAUAAAACGGCGCAUAUAAAAUAGCAUAUCUCGUUCAUUUGUACUGUUCGUGCCGGUUCCUUUAUAAGACCAGCUUGUGUGUGUAAUAAUCAUCAACGAGCGCCAGAAGUUUGUUCGCUCGUCGAUGGGCAAAUAACUUUGUUUGCAGUCGCUCGUUUAUUGCGUCGACUCAUAUACGCAUGUCGGCAUUCUUUUUAUUUUACGUGCGUGAACAGAAGUUAUCUGGGUAUUUUAUCUUUUUCUCACCAUUCUUUAUUAUCUAUAUCUUUUGCAUUCUGUUCUCGUUUUUCUCCGCUGUCGCAUACGCCGAACUCAAAUGAACCUCGACCUCUUAAACUGAUAACCCUCUAGUUUCCAUGAAUCAGACUGCUUGUUUUCAAAGGCUAUCUGCUUCUGAGUAAAACGGCGCCGAUCAGUAAUCGAACUACACGAUUUUACAAGGAGCCGAGGAUCAGUAUAGUACGAUGCUCGGUGUAUCGUGGAAGCAUCGAAAAUGACGCUGUACUUGAAGCGUUUUCUCGUCGCGCUCUGCCUCGUCUAUUUUGCCGUUUUUUCUUCCGCGGUAUGUGAUAGAAUCGUUGUGGCUCUUAGUGAUACACGCAGUCGCUUUAUUUUCCAUUUUUUUUACUCAAAACUGUUUGAAAAUGUGAUCUGAAUGUGGAUUAGACUGACUAAAAUUGGGCUAUAAGAAAAGACGAAAAUAUUUGAUGUUUCAAUAGAUAUUAAUGUCAUUAUAACGAAACAAUACGAAUUCGCAGUGCAAAAAUUUAUGCUAGUUUUAUUAUGUCUUUAAGAGGAAUAACGAAUAAAUUUCUAUUACUUUUGAAAUGAUAGAUUUUCAUAAAAAUUGGGAUACACAUGCUUAAUUUUUCACCGAGAUAAUAACACGUAAUAUGACAUUAACGAGUCGAGUUCAAAAAUAUUUUAUUUGCAUUGAUUAAUGGCGCGUUAUAUAAAGACAUGUGUAAAACGUAAUGUAAAUUCGCAAUCAAGUCUCAGGAACGUAUAAUUUAUUUGAUUAAAAUUGAACAUGUGUCAUGAAUAUAUCUUUUCUUAAUUUUUAUUUAUUACACGUCAUAGUGCUAUAAUGCAAGUGCUAUAGUGCAAUAUAAACAUUUAAUUCUUUUUAUGUUCAUUUGAAUUUAUGCACGUAUACAUAUUUUUUUUAAUAUAAUGCCGUUUUCCUGAUACGCGCACACAAUGUACAAUGAUUUUAGUUUAACUACGUUUUCAAACGAUAUCUAUUUAAAUACAUAUAACAAUACCAUAUAAAUUGUUUACAUUUUAAUGUUUAAAGUGCGAUAUGUGCUCAUACUUUUACUGAUAACAGUUAAAUGAAACGAAAAGCAUACAUAAUUAUAUAAUAUUAAUAAAUUGUUAAAUAUAUUUUAUUUAUUCAUUUGUAUAUUCUAUGUUCUAUGUCUCUAUGUAAUUGGUUGUACCAAGUGUACAAUGACUUCGCUUAGCCUCGAAUAAACUUAUAUAAAUAAAACAAAUAUACAAUUAUAAUAAAUUAUAUAUAUAUAUAAAUUU